rnacentral:rRNA from 1 species
AUUGAACGCUGGCGGCAUGCCUUACACAUGCAAGUCGAACGGCAGCACGGGAGCUUGCUCCUGGUGGCGAGUGGCGAACGGGUGAGUAAUGCAUCGGAACGUGCCCUGAAGUGGGGGAUAACGUAGCGAAAGUUACGCUAAUACCGCAUAUUCUGUGAGCAGGAAAGCAGGGGAUCGCAAGACCUUGCGCUCUGGGAGCGGCCGAUGUCGGAUUAGCUAGUUGGUGGGUAAAGGCCUACCAAGGCGUCGAUCCGUAGCGGGUCUGAGAGGAUGAUCCGCCACACUGGGACUGAGACACGGCCCAGACUCCUACGGGAGGCAGCAGUGGGGAAUUUUGGACAAUGGGCGCAAGCCUGAUCCAGCCAUGCCGCGUGCGGGAAGAAGGCCUCGGUUGUAACG